rnacentral:rRNA from 1 species
UACGAAGGGGGCUAGCGUUGCUCGGAAUCACUGGGCAUAAAGGGUGCGUAGGCGGGUCUUUAAGUCAGAGGGGAAAUCCUGGAGCUCAACUCCAGAACUGCCUUUGAUACUGAGGAUCUUGAGUCCGGGAGAGGUGAGUGGAACUGCGAGUGUAGAGGUGAAAUUCGUAGAUAUUCGCAAGAACACCAGUGGCGAAGGCGGCUCACUGGCCCGGUACUGACGCUGAGGUGCGAAAGCGUGGGGAGCAAACAGG